UGGGGAAUAUUGGACAAUGGGGGCAACCCUGAUCCAGCAAUACCGCGUGUGUGAAGAAGGCCCUAGGGUUGUAAAGCACUUUCAAUUGGGAAGAAAAGCAUUCGGUUAAUACCCGGGUGUCUUGACGGUACCUUUACAAGAAGCACCGGCUAACUCCGUGCCAGCAGCCGCGGUAAUACGGAGGGUGCAAGCGUUAAUCGGAAUCACUGGGCGUAAAGCGCACGCAGGCGGUUUGUUAAGUCAGAUGUGAAAGCCCCGGGCUCAACCUGGGAACUGCAUUUGAUACUGGCAAACUAGAGUAUGAGAGAGAGAAGUGGAAUUCCACAUGUAGCGGUGAAAUGCGUAGAGAUGUGGAGGAACAUCAGUGGCGAAGGCGACUUCUUGGCUCAAUACUGACGCUCAGGUGCGAAAGCGUGGGGAGCAAACAGGAUUAGAUACCCCCGUAGUCC
rnacentral:rRNA from 1 species